rnacentral:lncRNA from 1 species
GUGAAAGUAAAUUUAGGUCCUUCACCUGAACCUGGUGGUGGGUCAAACGCUUCCACAUGGACACCUGUCAGUCCCACUGGAGUGUAGGUCUGGCCAGAGACCUUUAGUUGUCUCUGUGCUCAGAUGUUGGCCACCAAGGAUCACAAGUUGGGAAAGAGAAUGGAGAGGAUUCCCUGUAAGGAGAGAGAGUCCUUAUAUGGGCCACCAAAAUGUCAUGGACUUUCUUGCAAAAAUGCCUGUUCGGGAUUCCUCAGAGUACAGACAAAAAGGAAGGCUUGAUCAGCAUGUGGUGGAUCUGAAGAUUCAAAGAAUUGCCGCGGCUCAAAAGUAGACAUUUUGGUAAAUGUGAAGAGUGAGAUUCAAUGAAGAUGAUAAGAAAUGAAAGGUGUUACCAAAAUCACUCACCUGUGGCGCCCUUGGCCGCUCAGUCAAGGCUCUGAAUAUCCUGAGACUGCCCCACUGCUUGGAAGCCCCGGACACCAGAGAGUUUCCUGUAGGUCCUCCAGCCGAGCCCGAUGACCCCGGCAGGCCCGGGAGUGAUGUCCCCCUCUGGAUGAUCCCAACCCCUUGCUGUGGAUUCAGCCCCAGCCGUUGUUGUGUCUUUUGGGGACCUUGUCAGUUGCCUUCCAAGUGCUAAUUCUCAUGACGAGAUAAGAAUGGCUAUGACUGGGUGUUGAUUGAUGAGUCGAACACAUUGAAUCCUGGAGUUUGAGGUUAUCAGAACUCCCCACUUAGAAAAUCAUCCUUUAUAUUUUAGAAAAUCAUCAUUGUAUGUUGAACAUACAAUGCUUCUUUUUUCUUCAUCUCCAGUGCACUGGUCUAGAGAGCGGCAGUUGGACCCCAGAGUGUGGCACGUGUUCCUGUGUUCAUUUGAACAUUCUCUGAUGACCUGUCGCUGAGGUCCUGUGAUGAUGCGUAUCCUGUCUUCCACCCCAACUGCCACUGUGUUUCAACUGUCGCUGGCUGUGUUUCAACUGCCGCUGUGUUGGAACUGCCAGCUAGACUGCUCACCAAAAUGGGAGGCAGCCUCUGCUGCUGUGGUGAAGGUGAAGGCUUCUUCUACCGCCAGAAUUGGCGGUUUCUCUCGCUGGAUUCUUGGGACCUGAUCCAGGCAGCACACUCGACACACUCAGCGAUUCAGCUCUACAGUAUGCACUCUGGGAUCUCCCAUUUGCUAAGGAAGGAUCUUAGCUUUGAGAAAGUGGCAAGAGAUCCCCUCUUGAGGAGACUCCGCAGGAACACCAGAGAUGAUAGUGACACACAACAACUGAAGCCAUUGAGGCUUGAUUUAAGACGGCAGGAGAAAACGACAGUAUCAGCCAUGCACUGAGUGGCAGUGAGCUUUUUCCUCAGCAGCUUGAUUCUCUCCUUGGGGCAAAAUCACUUAAUUGCCUAGCAACAUGACCUUGAGAGGAAACAUCCUCCAAGAAAAAUUUUAGCAUGAGUCAGUUUGCCCUGUUCUUCUUCUGUGUUCCUUUGAUUUGAACACUGUUUUCCAUCUGGUUUUCUAAUGUCACCAAGUGAAGAAAAGUCCUGUGCACUUGGUACUCGGAUGGUCUGAAGCUCAUGGUGUUUUUCUUUCUCUCAAUGCAGGCAGAGGUACAGGCUGAGGAGAAAGGGCUGCAGUGAGUUGUGAUUGAACCACAGCACUCCAGCCUGGGUGACAGUGCAAAACCAUCUCAAACAAAAAGUACAACUUAGCUCAGGUUUGAAUAGAAGGCUCCCUGAGAUGCUGUUGUUGAAACAGCCACAUUGUAUGGUGUACCCUGUUUGAGAUCAGCUUUCACACCGAUGAGGGUGGCUUAGCUAGAGAGCCAAGGCUCUGUCUCCCAGGGCUUUCCUGAUGGUCUCCUUUGCUUUCCUUCUCCACUAAGGAGGACGGCCAGCAGCUGCUCAGCCUGUGCUGUUAUCCCACCUUUUCCACACACGCCAGCCCCCUGUCCACAGCACCCAAAGCUGCCUGAGGGAUUCUUCAGCAGCUCCCAUGAGCUGACAGUGACUCUUAUGUUUCCUAGGUGUCAAGCCUGUGGCAGCAGAGCUUCCUGGGGAGUCCUCAGAGCAAGUCAUUGCCAUUGUCGAAGUGUCUUCUAGGCUUUAUUUUGGGGCCAUUACCUCGAGCACUGUUUCUUGUCUGGUUUCCUAAUGUCAGCAACUGAAGAAAAGACCUGUAUACACAGGACACAGCAUGGUCUGACGCUCACAGUGUUUUCCUUUCUCUCUGCAGAGGGAUUCAGCACUUUGGGCAAGUGGUUGCACAGAGGAUCCCGUGGAAGAAUUCAUAUAUGAAUCAGAUGAGAAUGCCCCAGGACCAUCGUAGGUCAGGCCACCUGCUUUUGUCAAAGAAAAAAGAUAACCCCUAUUUGAAUUAAAAUAUGAGAAUCUGACCAUAUGUAUCAUAGGUGACUUACACAGUGUCCUUGGUAAGGAGAAUUUAGAGUGAGAGUCUGUUCCCCACUGAGGUUUGAUUUAAGAUGGCAGAAGAAAAUGACAUCAUCAGCCACUCAGCAGCUUGAUUCUCUCCUUGGGGCAAAAUCACUUAAUUGCCAAGCAACAUGGACUUACAGGAAACAUCCUCCAAUAAAAACUUAGGUUUUUAGCAUGAUUCGAUACCAACAAGCCCUCUCCCGGCACCUGCAGAAAAAGUGGGGAAAAUCCCCGAAGAGGCAGAAACAAAACCUAGUGAGCUGAAGGAUGAGGCUGCUGAAGAGCCUGAGCUCACUUGUUGUGGCCUUUGUACUUAUGCUGGAAAUCCCUAAAGAUUCAUCCGGAAGGGCCGCCAGCCAGUGGAUUUCCCGGGCCCCUCAGCCCUCUGGAGUGUACGAGUUUUGGAGAAACCUCUUCCUCUGUAUAUGCUUUUGACUUUCCUGGACUGAUGUAAAAAUACUCUUUUCUUUGACCUGUUUAUUUUUAAGACACGAUGUGAUUGUGUCAGCUUAUAUUUUAUUGCUGAAGUAAAUUUUCAAAUGUUUUAUUAGUUUUUUUUGGAUCUUUGUCCGCUCAUUUUGGAGUUUUUGUAAUUUUGAUAGGUGUUCUUUUAUGCUUUGUAUUGUUUUCUUAAUGACUUUUACCUUAGUUUUUAACAAACCCAUAGUACAGUGUUAUACCCAAGCGAGUCAGAGAAAACGCCACACUUUGAGACGAAUUAAGAGUCCAUUAUUGGCCGGGCGCGUGGCUCAAGCCUGUAAUCCCAGCACU